CCUACGGGAGGCAGCAGUGAGGAAUAGUGGUCAAUGGACGAGAGUCUGAACCAGCCAAGUAGCGUGAAGGAUGACUGCCCUAUGGGUUGUAAACUUCUUUUAUAUGGGAAUAAAACGUUCCACGUGUGGGAUUUUGUAUGUACCAUAUGAAUAAGGAUCGACUAACUCCGUGCCAGCAGCCGCGGUAAUACGGAGGAUCCGAGCGUUAUCCGGAUUUAUUGGGUUUAAAGGGAGCGUAGGUGGAUUGUUAAGUCAGUUGUGAAAGUUUGCGGCUCAACCGUAAAAUUGCAGUUGAAACUGGCAGUCUUGAGUACAGUAGAGGUGGGCGGAAUUCGUGGUGUAGCGGUGAAAUGCUUAGAUAUCACGAAGAACUCCGAUUGCGAAGGCAGUUCACUGGACUGCAACUGACACUGAGGCUCGAAAGUGUGGGUAUCAAACAGGAUUAGAUACCCCAGUAGUC
rnacentral:rRNA from 1 species